GGGGUGAUCAGUGUUGGCAACAUUAUGGUCAACAUGCAAGUUUAAUGCAAAAUAUUAAACACUUUACCACCACUAUAUAAAACUAAAAUUGAUCAUCUACAAUUAGAGAACAAAAUUGUUACACACAUAAAAAUCAAACAAACACAAUAGGAUUAUACUAUAAAAUAAAAUACACUAAAUCAUCGUAGCAAAUUAACAUAAGGAAAAACACAUGAAAACCAAAUCAAUAGAAAAAUAAUUACAACUUUCCCGCGCGGACAAACCCCUAGUAUCAAUCUAAAAAUAAGAAAGAUUGUAGAAAAACAUCUAGAAACUUGAUCUCACGAUUUGCGAACCUGUAAAAAAUCUUACCAAUUUCGUCAACAUCGAUGAUUGCUAUCUUUCGUAAGAAUCAGGAACCAACUCUCGCCCCCCUUUGUUAGAAGGAACCUCGAUACAUUUGCUUAGUUAGUAGAAAAUAUGCAGGGGAUCAACCUUGAAGUAACAUCACACGAAGUAAACGUCAAUCUUAUUUUCAAGCCCAUAAAAUAAAAAACAAAAAUUAAGACCCGAACAAACUAAAACAAUCAACAACGCGGUAAGCCCGCACGCAUAUAUAGGGGGACACCCGAACUGCGUCACCAAACU
rnacentral:lncRNA from 1 species